AAGUCUUUUAAAGUUUUUCCCUCCAGUUCUUUGGUGUAUUAAACCAAAGAACUGGAGGGAAAAUCUUUGAAAGACUU